GCUAGAUUGCGGAUCCGCGGCCGCAGAGUUUGAUCCUGGCUCAGAUUGAACGCUAGCGGGAUGCUUUACACAUGCAAGUCGAACGGCAGCGCGAACUCCGGUUUGGCGGCGAGUGGCGAACGGGUGAGUAAUGUAUCGGAACGUACCCAGUAGCGGGGGAUAACUACGCGAAAGCGUGGCUAAUACCGCAUACGCCCUACGGGGGAAAGGGGGGGAUCGCAAGACCUCUCACUAUUGGAGCGGCCGAUAUCGGAUUAGCUAGUUGGUAGGGUAAAGGCCUACCAAGGCGACGAUCCGUAGCUGGUUUGAGAGGACGACCAGCCACACUGGGACUGAGACACGGCCCAGACUCCUACGGGAGGCAGCAGUGGGGAAUUUUGGACAAUGGGGGCAACCCUGAUCCAGCCAUCCCGCGUGUGCGAUGAAGGCCUUCGGGUUGUAAAGCACUUUUGGCAGGGAAGAAAAGGUUCUGGUUAAUACCUGGAGCCGCUGACGGUACCUGCAGAAUAAGCACCGGCUAACUACGUGCCAGCAGCCGCGGUAAUACGUAGGGUGCAAGCGUUAAUCGGAAUUACUGGGCGUAAAGCGUGCGCAGGCGGUUCGGAAAGAAAGAUGUGAAAUCCCAGGGCUUAACCUUGGAAUGGCAUUUUUAACUACCGGGCUGGAGUAUGUCAGAGGGGGGUAGAAUUCCACGUGUAGCAGUGAAAUGCGUAGAGAUGUGGAGGAAUACCGAUGGCGAAGCAGCCCCCUGGGAUAAUACUGACGCUCAUGCACGAAAGCGUGGGGAGCAAACAGGAUAA
rnacentral:rRNA from 1 species